UCCAAGGUGGGCUGUCCCCACGGGAGGAAGGCCUUCCCUGUGCGCCCAGCUCUGCAGAAGCCCACAUCCCUGCCAGUCACAGCCCGUCCUACCUCUUGCCCUGGCACUGUCCGUGCAUCUCUCUGGGUCACCCCCUCACAGCCCUCCCCUGAAAUGCCUCUGCCCUUGCAGCUGCCUGCAGACGGCACCCUGUCCCCAGGGCCACCCGUGUCCUGUAGGAGCCUGUGCCCCCCCUCUCCAGGCCUGGAGGAGGUUCAGAGAGGAGGUGUGCAAAGGGGCCCUGGGCGUGCAGCUGCUGGAAGCCUGUUGUCACGGAGACGCGGGCCUUUUCUCAUCUGGACAUGGAGCAGUGGAACUUUCCCAAGCAUGCUGCUUUGCACUUUUUCAUGUUAGGGCUGAACCAUGACACCUGAGACAUCGCUGCCACAGACCCUGCAGGAGGGGGACCAGCAUCACCAAGAGGCCCCACUGAUGCCAGGCACCCAACCCAUCGCCAUGCAUCCCAGCUUUUAGCAGAGCCCGUCCUGGCGGAGGUGGGGGCGUGCACAGGAACCCCUGGGCUCCCCCUCCCGAGUCUGUCGGUCAGUGUGGAAGUGGACAGGAGCUCUGGGAAGCAUGGGAACUGAAAAGACUGGGUCUUACCAGCGACCAAGAAACGUUCCCACAAACCCCUGGAAGGUGAAGCCCAUCUCCCACUGCCUGCUUUCGCAAGGGUGCUCGUGUCAGCUCAUCAGAUGGGGAAACGGACCGUCCACGGUGGACCAGGCCCCACUCGGAUUCCAUUCACGAGGCCACACUGGAUCCUUGAGCGGUUUAUUGAUUUAAAGUCACAUAUUGGCAGAGCCUGUGUGCUCCC